CCCCCCGAACUGGCUUGCCCACUCCCUUCUCCCCCUCUUUGUUCUUCCCCAUUCCCGAGUAUCAGCUUAAUCCACCCACCCCCGCACGGCUUCAUCUCCAUUUUCGAUCACCACCCAUAGCUUCUACUCCUCCACUUCACUUCAGGUGACACUUCGGCGGAAGCUAGGGUCGUCGUCUCCUCCACAUACAGAAUCUGUGCCGUGCGAUUCGUGGUUUCGGCAGUUGGAUUUUUUCAACGAUUUUCGUGUGUCGAAGGUCAAGAUUAUCGUCUGAGACUGUUGGGUACCUUCCGUCCCCAAAGGGCAGAUCUGUGGAAUGAGCUUGGAGGACUACAUUCUGUCGCGCUCACCUCCCUCGGAGAGUCUUUGUUAGAACUAAUUGACUUGUCUCCCUAAUAUUACACUGAAGUUGCUCUUCUUAAACUGGUUUAUUGAAGACCAAGACCUCAGAAGCUAAUGCUGGUAAACAAAAUGCGCAGCUUGAGAUAUUUGUUGCUCUUUUUAAGGGAGGGGGUGAUAUUGGUUCCUGCUCUGUUUCAGGAUUGAAGGAUUAUCAAUUAGCUAUCUUACAUAUAAGAUUGUGGCUUGGUUUAUCUGGAUUUUAUGGUUUUAGUUUUUUUAUUCUUAAGCAUGUAACGCAAAUGGAGAUGAAAGGAAGAUCUUGACAGCUUUAUAGAGAUUUUUGAUAUUUACUCUGGCCUGCAUACCAAUGAGCUCUAACUCUUAUAUAUCUUGAGUCCAAGUUUCACUAAAUUUGGGAUUUGUUACAUUUGGAUCUCUGUCUUGGCUUGUUUGCAUCUAUAAUAGCACCUUUUGGAGGCUUCUUUGCCAGUGGUUUCAAAAGAGCCUUUAAAAUAAAGGAUUUUGGUGAUAGUAUACCUGGACAUGGUGGAAUUACAGAUAGAAUUAACUUCCAGGAACUUGGACAUUUUGGUUUGAAGUUUAUGCUGCUUUGAGAGAUGGGGAAGGAGUACAUAUCAAAUGGUUCAUCAGAUUCAAGUAUCAUGCUAUCGUACCAAAUGGAUGCGUUUGGCCUGGAGGAGCACUAUAAUUUUGUGAUCCCAAUUUGAUUGAAUAGAUAUGUUUCGAAUUAUGAGUAUAAAAUUAGUUGAAGAGGUACUGCAUGUGUUGUUGGAUCAUAAUGACCUUCCUGUCGUAAUAUGAUUGUUUUAAUUUAAAAUACAUUAUUUUUUAUUGAACUUAAAAGUGUUGGUUGGACUUUCUUAUUGAUUACUUAUUGAGAUUGAU